rnacentral:rRNA from 1 species
UACGUAGGGUGCAAGCGUUGUCCGGAAUUAUUGGGCGUAAAGAGCUCGUAGGCGGUUUGUCGCGUCUGCUGUGAAAACCGGAGGCUCAACCUCCGGCCUGCAGUGGGUACGGGCAGACUAGAGUGCGGUAGGGGAGACUGGAAUUCCUGGUGUAGCGGUGAAAUGCGCAGAUAUCAGGAGGAACACCGAUGGCGAAGGCAGGUCUCUGGGCCACUACUGACGCUGAG